CGCGCAGGCUUGUGCCCUGCGGCCGCCGGGGCGCCGAGGCGCCGCUGAAUUGAGAGAUUUCUCCCAGAAGCAUGGAAGCAUUGACCAUGAAGUAGUGUUCAUGAUAUCUGGCUUGACUAGGGUGCCAUAACCCAGGACACUUUGCCAAUAAUCCAAAUGAUAUGCCCGAGACAGGAAGGCAGCUUCCAGGGAGGCCCUCCUCACUCUGAGCAACGGUGGCAUCAUCAUUGGAGAAGUGGCACUCCUCCAGAGGUAGCUGUUGGAAGCAGAUCCCGUGCGUGCAGGGAAGUUGUGGAUGUUUGCUUUUACACAGAGGGUCAUUGCAUCAUGGCCCCACCUUGCCCCCGCCCUUGUAUGGCUCACUCAGAAGGAGCUGGGCCAGCAGCAAAUGGCAGGAAUUGGGCCAGGGUCUCUUGGAGCCUGGCAGGGCCCUGGGGGCAGCUCUCUGUCCUGAGGAUGAUUUUGCCAGCACAUGGUGCUUCCCACAGCCUUGCCUUGUCAGUUGUCGGAAGUCAUUGUGGUGGUGUCAGCAUUCAGAAAAGCCACCUAAUAUCCAGCCAACAGAGAGGCAGCAGGCUCCAGAGCUGACCCCUGUGCUGUUAAUUUAAAACUCCUCCCCACUGGCCUCCGUCCACAGAAUCAUCUGAAUGUCCCACCUGCCAGCAGUACCCUUCAGGAUCCACCGUGUCGCCCCCUAGCCUUGUCUCCUACACUGUUGUGAAGGCCCUACUCCUGCCCUCCCAGCACGGUCACCCGGGAUGGGUGUCCUCGUCCUCCUCCCUCCUCCCUCCCCUCUCCUCUCCCACUUGGAAUCAGGAGCAUGGUUUAUUUUUUCAUAUGUCUGGUUUCUAGCCCAGUACCUGGCGCACAAAAGUCACCUGAUCGUGCUGGGCUGGGACAGGAACUGCCCUGAAAGUCGGAUUGCUGAGCAGGAGCCGCGUGGGCUCACAGGACUUGCUGUGCAGUUGGAAGGACAGAAGGUUCUGGACACUCAGCCUUUGCUCAGGUGUCACUUUAUGCAUUCAGUGGAGUGGGGGGCUCCUGUGUGCAAGGAUGUCCUCCAUGGCUGCUACCGGGCCGAGUUCCAGGGGACCAGCAGGGAUCUGGCGAGAGCCAUGAGGUGCUAACCUUCUGCCCCAUGCUAAAAAAACAAAAAUAAAUAAACAACCCUGCCUCUUU